ACAUAUUCACAUGAUAAAUUAGCAGCCAAUUGUCCAAACUUAAAUACAGAAUGCAAUGCGAAGAACUGCCCACCUAAUCAUUGCCAACUACAUCGCCAGGAGUAUAUUGAGAGAAAUCAUCAAAUCUGGCCAGAACAAAAGAUUCCCAUGUAGCUAGCUUAAUUAGUAUAUGUCCAAAAUAUUGUUUCCAAAAAGAAACAUGAGUUACAGUUUAGUAGGACCGAGAAGGAUUCAAGAUUAUAAAAGGAGCUGGGAUACACAUUCUUAUUAAAAUUAUUGGUUCAGAUCUGUGUAGCUUUCAAGGGGCUACCAAUCAAUCCAUAUGUCCAUCAAUGCAAUACUUUCAGAAGGGCACCACUCAAUCCAUUUGAGCAUCUCCUUUUUGCAUUAAUAGAAGAGGAGCUAGCAUACCUGUAGAUGGGUUGGUGAUGGUGAGGUCGCCAGCAAGUAGACCUAGCUGCAGAGGACACCGCCUCCCCCGCACUGUACUGCGUCAAACCUGGAAGUGCACAUAUUAAAGCAAGAGUUUAUCUACCACAUAAGAAAGCACAUACAUAAAAGCAGCAACAAUUGAGUUGGGCACACACGAACAUUGACAAAGCAAAUAAGGAGAAGGCAUGCGGCUGGCUACCGAAAAUAGAGAAAACCACACAAGCAUGGAUAUGAAUACAUAAAUAAAUAUACACAGGGCGACCCAACCUUGAGUCACAGAACCUCUUUUCCUCCAGUCAUGCCAGUGCCUUGAGAAUUAUUUGUCUUCGUACACAUGCUAGCGGUUACACUCGACACUUGUUUAAAAGCAGAGAAUGACAUGUACAUGAGUGGACGACAUGAUGGCCUUGAUGGAAAAUGAAACGUACACAGCAAAUCAUCCCCCCUUGAAGCCAAUACAAAAACGACGGUCUCACUCAUUUGACCCGAAUAAUGAACACAACAUAUUUAUGCCCGAAGAAAUAGUUUUUUGCUACAAAUAGAUGAAUCAAAGUAAAUAAGAAUAUUUUGUCCUAUAAGCAAAAAAAAACUCUAGACAAACACAACCAAAAUGUACGCACUGAAGCACAAGAUUUCCUCGGCACAACACACCUAAAAAAUGUUGGCGCAUGAGAAGCUACUUCCUAUAUGAACACAGAAGAAACCAAUCAUCAUGCAUUCUGAAUCUAAUUCCAAUGCAUACAAAAUGCACACCUGAUCAUCAACCAAGUUCUUUAGGUAAAUCAGUUACUUUGAAUGAGCGUACACAUUUGAGUUAUCUUAGCUGCUCAAGGCCUGAACCAAACAUUGAUUACCACUAUUAAUCCAUACAUACAACAAUAAUCAUAGCUUGAGUGCUUAGCUGCGUACCACCCAUGUACAUGGUUAGAAAACUGCAAUGCUUACAAUUUUAAGGACCCAUCACCCAUAUAAAAGGAAAUGAACCUUCAGAAUGUGAUAUUACUUGUUUCUUCUCUCUCAGUAAAACAACUCAUGGUUUUCUCUUGAGGAGAAAGGGGGGUCAGCUAGGAGGGAGGUCGAGGAGGAGGGACGGUCGCAUGCUGUCAUGGUCACAUUGCCUAGCAUGAUUCAGAAUCCAAACAAAAUAAUUUUGAAAUUCACCAUCAAAUGUAAAAUUUCUUAUGAUUACCAAAAUGAAAACAUCAUAUAAUGCAUCUUCUGUAAAGCAAAGAAACCACACAUAUAUCUUUUUCCUUGAAACUGAAUGAUCCUUAGCACCAGCCCAAAACAACAUUCUACUAUCAAAAUCCACAAAUUAGUAAAAGAAACAUUUGCAUCACAUUUUUACUACCUGUACAAACAUGCCUUGCCAAAGUUGAAACAUAAGUAAAGCAAAAGUAUUUUUCUCAGACUCACACACACACCUUUUAACUGCGGA
rnacentral:lncRNA from 1 species